UGAUUGGCUGGGCUCAGCUGUGUGGUGUUGCCUGAGUCACUCAUGUGACCACGUCAUGUGCCAACUUGACUGGAAGUGGAGGCGUGAGGGGAGCUCACCGGCACAGUUAGGACGUUGGCGCUGGCAGUCAGCUGUGUGAUCUGUUAUCACUCAGAGCUGGACCAUGGUGAAUAGUCUGCCAGACGACCAGUGCACAUCACCACCUGGGAGACAGACCGUGGGGAUGAAUGGGGUCUGCGCUAAGUGAGCAUUCGCCAUCUCCGUUAAGUGUCCUCUUUUCUUUCCUCAUUCCCUUUCCCCUCCCUCCUUUUGCUCCUUCCCCCCAGAGCAAUCCUGGUGUCUUGCCUGGACGCUCCAGACCUUCCUGUGGCUGUAAAUCCCUUUCACACUUCUGAGUUGUUUCAAAGUGAAUUUGGGAGGCGCAUCAGCCUUGCCUCUUGUCUAGACACAAUUUCAGUGGGCAGAGGAGCUGAGCCUGUCUGAGAUUCUCACUUGAGUCCACCUGGGCCCAUCUGCUGCUGCCAUAAAUCUCUAGGGAACUGAAAGUGACUGCCAGAAGGGGAUGCUGCAAGUCUUCCUGGCUGCCGGCUGCUCGGAACCGCUUCUGCCAGGCGUGUGAAUCGCUGACGCAGCAGAACCCACCGGGCCUCUGGGAGACACAGGGCAGGAUGUGGCUCUUGUCUGGUCCCAUCUGGAAAGUGAAGAUGCUGUCCUGUCCUGGAUGCUGUCCAGUCCACAGACACAGAACAAGGGGCUGAGCUCUGAGCUCCGAAAUUCUGUGCUGCUGGGUCUGUCUUUUGUAACGCAACAGAAGGGAGUUUUGUCUAGUUCUGUGCAUGUGAUCUAAGUCAUUUAAGAUCAAAGAUGUAGCAUUCUCCGCUCCUUCUCCAGAAUCAUGUCUACCUGCAUGAGGCCAUGUCACACCAUGAUGAUAAAGGACUAAGCCUCUCAACUAAGGACUUAAGGCUAGAUGACAUCAUGAACCCUGAUAAUGAGUUGGAAGAACGGCCAUCAGAUUGGGACAGACGGUUGGCAGCGGCAGUACAGGCCAAGUCAGGGCUGUGAAAUGACAGGAAGCCUACCAGUGUUGCUGAAGACUGGGGUGUAAGACGAGAUGAUGGAGAGACGGCCUUGCCAAGGAGCAUGAAGGAAGUUGGAAAUAAUGGACGCUCGUAUUCUGGCAACUGUUUAUGAGUAUACACGCUGGUGGUUUAAGUGACAGUGGCCGCCUUGUGCUCAUAUAUUUGAAUAUUUGCUCCCCAGAUGGCAGAACUGUUUGGGAAAGGUUAGAAAGGCCUUGUUGAAAAGGUGUGUCACUGGGGGUUGGGAUCUGAGGCUGCAACAGCCCACAUCGUUCCUGACGAGCUCGCCAUCUCUCUCUGCCUUGUGCUUGCGGAUCGAAUGUGAGCUCUCAGCUGCUGCUCCAGCGCCACGCCUGCUGCCUGCUGGUGCCACGAUGAAGAACCCUAAUGUUCUGGAACUGUGAGCAAGCUCCCAGAGUCAAAGGGAAGAGAUUGGAGGAAUUCCACAGAUCACUCUUCAACUGUCGACCUAGAUAUGAAACUGUUUCUUGAAGGAGACCUCCGGGUAGUUCCCAGAUGCUGGCUUUGCAGAGUGAAUUCUGAACUCUCUUUAGCUUCUUCCACUGGACAUCACCCCUGACAGGAUGCCUGUUGCUCCUCAGAAAGACUCCACGACACUGUGAAACUGGAACUGUGGGGGAAACUUGUCCUUGCAGUCUCCGAGAAAGUUCCCAAUCCUCAGUAGCUCUGCCGUGCAGCAUUGAAGAUAUAUGGUGGUCAUCUAGGCUAGGAGGGGACUUCCCUGAGUCUUCAACUGCUGUCCUGUAUUCCUCUUGAUCCCAGACGAACUGAGAAGUCAGUAAUCACCCACCCUUCCCUUCAUCCCCUGGCCCCACCCCUCCCCACCAUCCUACACUGUUUUUACCUGAAUUUCCUCCCACUUACCAUCUUGGAGCCUGGUAUUCCUCAGGGAAUGAUUUGUCCCGCCUCCUCUGCCCCUUUAACUCUGAAAUGCCCCUCUGGGUUUUGGUUGAAAGGUAACUUUCUCCAGGUGUCUCCUAGACCCCUGUCGAGUUGGCUGACCUAACCCUGUGUGUGGCACUCUUUAUUCACCCAGUGACACUCUCAGUAUAGUAUGUGCCUUUGGCUGGGUUAGGCCUCCUCCUGUGACAGGGGCUGGAUGCUCCGCUUUGUCCCCUGCAGGCUUAUGACUAAUGCUGCUUUGGAGUUUAGCCUACAAGCAGUUUGCGUGUGUCUGUCAAUUUAGUUUUUAAACAGGCAGUCCCAGAAAGAGGCAAAGGGCUACUCAUCAAAAGAUGAUAAGAUGUUGACUAGCACAAACAACUAAGUAGAUGAAAAGUGGAACAACCUUCAAGUUGACUUUUCAUCCUUUAGAUUCCCUAAAGUUUGUGGAGCGGUGAGGAGGCGGUGACCCCAGCAGGCUCUCUUGUGGCAGGGAUCCUUCAAGUCAACUUGACAAACUCUACAAAAGUUUAAGUGCACAGAGUCUCUGAUAAAUUGGCCCCUGGAAAGGUUUCUUACAAAUGGCUUGAGACACGUGCACAGAGAAGGACAACGUGAGUGUGUUUAGAAAAAAAAGAUGUGUGAACAACACAAGGGCCUAUCAGAGGGAGACUGAUAAACUGUGAGAGUCAAGUUAGAGGGAUGUUGUGACGGAAUUUUUCAAUGAAGUAUAUAUUUGCAUAUGUUUAUAUGAAACAUUCCUCAAAGCAGAGAAAAAUGUAUUUAUAUAUUUUCUAUUUUUUUUAAGACAGGGUCCAUGUUGGCCAGAAACUCACUAUGGAGUCAUACUGGUCUUGAAUUUUUGAUCCUCCUGCCUCAGCCUCCUGUGUGUUGAGACUACAAUGUUCACCACUAAGCCUAUGUUCAGUUGCGAUUUUAAAAAACAUACAUGUAUAUUUACAUACAUAGAAUAUCUCUGGAGAAAUCCACAGAAACUCUUAGUGGCAUGAAUUCUGGGGAGAGUGCCUGGAACCUGGAAUAGGAAACUCACAUGUGCUGUUGUGUUUGCACUUUUUAUUAAGGGCAUAAAUUUAGACUGCAAUGAUUACAAAAAGGAAACCAUAAUUUUGAAAACAUUAAUGAAAUGAACUAGGAAAUUUGAACCCAAGGUUCCAGAAAUUCCUCUUCCCUGCUUCGUUCCUUUUCUUUUUUUCUGUUCAUCAUCCCUAGUUUUCCCAGAAACCCGAUUACCCAGAAUCCUUUGGGCAUAAUACGUCCUUACAAGAUUAGACCGGUUAGUGCUACAGGAAGUUUGGAGAGCAGUGAGUGCUGGUGAGAGCUGACUUCUCUCCCUCCUCCAAGGCCUCCUCCCUCCCUCACCUCUUAGACUGCUCCUUCAUUGGCCAGGCUUGUCCUGGCUGGCUGUUGCACCUGCUUUCAGCUCCCUGCUUUCUGCCCCAGGUUUUCUUGACAGGGAUGUGUCUUCUCCUCCCCAUGCCUGAGAAAACCCAUACUGUCAUCUGGCUUUUCAGAAUCUUUCUGCUGUGACCUCUGGGUGGAGCUUCUGCGUGGUCUGCUAGAGGUGGGGUAGAGUUUUCAAGCCUGCUUCCCUUUGUGCCAGAUCAGUAGUUUACUCCCAAGUUGUAUUUUCUUCUUUAGGUUUUAUUUUCUUCUUUUCCUUUUUUCAUUCUUCUUGCUUUCUUACUACCCUUUCCUGAGAUCUUCACAGAAACUACCAGCCUGUGCUGGGUACACUUGUGUGAGACCCAGGCUAACAUACCUCCUUGCAGUUAACAUGGAGCCUAGCACCUUGUAGACCUAUAGACACCUCCCGUCACAGUUAACAUGGGGUUCUGGAGGCUGAGAUCAUAGUUUACUCAAAGAGAUAACAGUUGCCCCCAAGGGAGUUUCUUUCAGUUUUCUUGAAAUUGAAGCACCCCACUCCCCAUUCCCACCCCAUGCACCAUCUAGGUCCUUAUGUCUAUGUUUUGUCUUCCCUGUUAACACAAGGCUGGUAUGCUGUGCCUUGAAUUUUCAGACAUGGCCUCCUUCCCCAAUAUGUGGAAAUGCAACCUUAAUUGUGAUGAUUUGAGGAGCUGGUCUAUUGGGUGACUGAAUGGUGAUGUGCGGCACUAGUGAAUGGGAUUAAAGUCCUUAUAAAAGAGACCCCCAGAGAUCUUCCAGUUUUCCCCACCACGUGACCAUAGCAAGAAGCCAGCAUUUAUGAACCAAAAAACCUCUUAUUCACCAAAUCUAUCGGCAACUUGAUGGUGGAUAUUCCAGCUUUCGGAACUGUGAGGAAUAAACUUCUCUUAUUCAUGAGCUA